UUUUAUAUGAAAGUACUCGCUUAUAGCUUCUAUAUCAUACGUUCGUAAGUCGAGAAUUAUUUUUAUUAUUACCGAUAUGAUAAUUUUGAUUCUCAUCGUCAAAAAAAAACGUUGUUGACCGGGGUAUAUCAUAUGUUUCAUCCAUCGGCGCUCAGUGAUCGAUUCGUGACAACUUAUAUGAAAAGGAUAUAUAAAACUGGUGCCUGGUUCAACGCGAGGAAAUCAGCUCGUUGAGAAAUCUUCCAUAUUUCUCGUUUGACUUGUGUAAUUUAAGUAUUAGCAUAGGCAAUUACGAUUACGAUUGAACUAUCUAACUUCGUGCUUAGCGUUCCUCAGGAUCGUGCAGAACGAACGAGGAGUCCUCCAAAAGAAAACUAUCGCGUUGCAAAAAUAGUGUUUCUACGGUUUACCUUCUACCUUGUGAUCGAACAUCGUCUGAUUGCUCUUCUCUCAAUCGUUUUGAUCUUUGAUUGUACACAAUCGUGACCGUGUAUAUACAAUUUUGAUAUGUGUGCUAUAGUAACAAUCUACACCUCGUUCUUCAGGACUUUGAUGCAUGUUCAAGAGGAUAUUUACGUUCAGGUCGGAAAAUGAGACGAAUCCUUCAUCUUCUAACAAGGACCUGGCUCUUCCUAGUUGUAGAGGAUCUUCCGGAAUGAAAAAUAAAGUAUAUAUGUAUAUAUACAUGAAAUAAUAAGAUGGAAAGACAGGAUUUGACAAAGAUACGGUGUUUGGGAUUAGGAUGCUGACAGGAUAUAAAAUUAGUGUUAAUGAUGGAUAUUUUGGAUAAAUGGAUAAUUUGGCUGGAAAUAUUCUAUGGAUUCUGUAAAUAAGCGGAUUACUUGGAUCUUUGACCGGACAAUAUAUAUAUAUAUAUAUACAUAUAUAUAUGAUAACGCCGUUAUAUUCAUGGAUUUGGAUUAUCAAAAUAUCGAUCAAUUAUAUAAAAAAGAGAAAGCAAAAUGUGUGGCUGUACUCGUUUCACAAAUAGGUUUCUUCAUGGAUUAUAUCUCCUAGGUCGGAUAUGGGAUUUGGACUUGCACUUAUCAAUACAGGAAUUUAAAAAAAUAAAAAAUAGUCGGAUAUCAUUUUUCGGAUAACACGGACGAUCGGGAACGGAUGAUGCGAUUCGCACACUCUCGCUGUAAGAGAGCAAGAAGAAAAUAAAUAUUUUUGUUCAGAUGAUCCGUCGGAUCAAGAGGAGAAUGAACUUCCGCCGCUUCUUGGAUUAAUGAAGUGACCAUUUUGUAAGAUCGUGAUAUCUAAUAGUAUUGCAAUUAAUAUUUGUUAUGAAAAUUCUAUAUUUGUAAAUUUUAUAUUAUGUAAAUAUUUAAUUUACAUAAUUUAUUUAUUUAAUACUAAGAAAUAAUAGGAAUUUAAACUUAUUAUAUUAUAAAUGUAAUAAUUUUAUUAUUUUAUUUUUUAUCUCAUUAUAUUACACGAUCGAUAAAUAAAAUAUUCUUUUUGCUUGAAUUAUACUAUUUUAUAUUUAAUAAUAAUAAUAUUCCAUGAGAAAGAAGUAAUAUUACAAAUCUUUCGAUGUUGAUAAAUUUUUAUUUUGUAUUAUUAUUUACAAGUAUUAAUUGUUAUGUUUUUGUUAAACAUAUGGAAAAAUAAUAAGUGGUAUUUGGUUUUUCUUUAUAUCGUUUCACGAUUCGGUGUGACCACCAGUUCUUUGAUCAAGACAUUGUCAGGAGUUUGUAAAGCGAAGAGAACACAAUCGGAAACAUCUUUAGGUUUCAAAGCCAGACGAGAGUUUUCUUUUAACCAUUGUGCAGUCAUAUCGGUUUCCACUAAAUCAGGACUAAUGGACUAAAAUAUAUAUUAUCAAAUUUAAAAUUUCGAAGACAUAAUUGA